rnacentral:rRNA from 1 species
UACGGGGGGGGCAAGCGUUGUUCGGAAUUACUGGGCGUAAAGGGCUCGUAGGUGGCCAACUAAGUCAGACGUGAAAUCCCUCAGCUUAACUGGGGAACUGCGUCUGAUACUGGAUGGCUUGAGUUUGGGAGAGGGAUGCGGAAUUCCAGGUGUAGCGGUGAAAUGCGUAGAUAUCUGGAGGAACACCGGUGGCGAAGGCGGCAUCCUGGACCAACACUGACACUGGGGAGCGAAAGCCAGGGGAGCAAACGGG